CUUGGAUGAUUCAAAAGUAUAAUUACAAGAAAAGUUUCGAUAUUAUCAUCAGGGCCGCCGAGAGGUUGGCGGGGGCCCGGGGCAAAAUUUUUUUGGGGGCCCCCUAUCUAAAAUUUUUUUCCGGAAAAAUUUUUUUUUAGGAUGACAACCCCCCCCCCCCGUCGCCAAAAAAUUUUCGGUCAGUGUACCAUUUUAGGGGUAAAAAUUUUUCCGGACGAGUACGUUACAAUUGCUUUCCAGGGACUUUACCUCAUUUUUCAUGCCAAAUUUUGGUACUUAACCGAAGAAAACAGAUAUCUUGUCCUUCGCGCGGAAAUAUUUAACACACAAAAAACACUGGGGCCCAACAAAAAUU